rnacentral:rRNA from 1 species
AACGCGAAGAACCUUACCUGGGCUUGAACCGCACAGGACCAUCUUUGGAAACAGAGACUUCCCGCAAGGGACCUGUGUAGAGGUGCUGCAUGGCUGUCGUCAGCUCGUGCCGUGAGGUGUUGGGUUAAGUCCCGCAACGAGCGCAACCCUUAUCUCCAGUUGCUACCAUUUAGUUGAGCACUCUGGCGAAACCGCCUCGGAUAACGGGGAGGAAGGUGGGGAUGACGUCAAGUCCUCAUGGCCUUUAUGUCCAGGGCUACACACGUGCUACAAUGGCCGGUACAAACCGCUGCAAACCCGCGAGGGGGAGCUAAUCGGAAAAAGCCGGCCUCAGUUCGGAUUGGAGUCUGCAACUCGACUCCAUGAAGCUGGAAUCGCUAGUAAUCGUGGAUCAGCAUGCCACGGUGAAUACGUUCCCGGGCCUUGUACACACCGACUGUAC